AAAUUGAAGAGUUUGAUCAUGGCUCAGAUUGAACGCUGGCGGCAGGCCUAACACAUGCAAGUCGAGCGGAAACGAGUUGUCUGAACCUUCGGGGAACGAUAACGGCGUCGAGCGGCGGACGGGUGAGUAAUGCCUAGGAAAUUGCCCUGAUGUGGGGGAUAACCAUUGGAAACGAUGGCUAAUACCGCAUGAUGCCUACGGGCCAAAGAGGGGGACCUUCGGGCCUCUCG
rnacentral:rRNA from 2 species